rnacentral:tRNA from 1 species
GCCUGGGUGGCUCAGUCGGUUGAGCGUCCGACUUUGGCUCAGGUCAUGAUCUCGCGGUUUGUGAGUUCAAGCCCCACAUCGGGCA